rnacentral:rRNA from 1 species
GGAAUUUUGGACAAUGGGCGCAAGCCUGAUCCAGCAAUGCCGCGUGCAGGAUGAAGGCCUUCGGGUUGUAAACUGCUUUUGUACGGAGCGAAAAGGCUUCCACUAAUACUGGAGGCUCAUGACGGUACCGUAAGAAUAAGCACCGGCUAACUACGUGCCAGCAGCCGCGGUAAUACGUAGGGUGCAAGCGUUAAUCGGAAUUACUGGGCGUAAAGCGUGCGCAGGCGGUCUUGUAAGACAGGUGUGAAAUCCCCGGGCUUAACCUGGGAACUGCACUUGUGACUGCAAGGCUGGAGUACGGCAGAGGGGGAUGGAAUUCCGCGUGUAGCAGUGAAAUGCGUAGAUAUGCGGAGGAACACCGAUGGCGAAGGCAAUCCCCUGGGCCUGUACUGACGCUCAUGCACGAAAGCGUGGGGAGCAAACA